rnacentral:tRNA from 2 species
GGCUCCAUAGCUCAGUGGACAGAGCGCCGGUCUACGAAACCGGGUCCGCCGCAGGUUCGAGUCCUGCUGGAGCCA